rnacentral:rRNA from 1 species
GGCCCAAGUGGGAUUAGCUAGUUGGUGAGGUAAUGGCUCGACCCAAGGCGACGAUCCCUAGGCUGGUUUGAGGAGGAUGAUCAGCCACCACUGGGACUGAGACACGGCCCAGACUCCUACGGGAGGCAGCAGUGGGGAAUAUUGCACAAUGGGCGCAAGCCUGAUGCAGCCAUGCCGCGUGUGUGAAGAAGGCCUUCGGGUUGUAAAGCACUUUCAGUCAGGUAGGAAAGGGUUAAACCGGUUAAUACCCGUUUAGCUGGUGACGUUACUGACAGAAGAAGCACCGGCUAACUCCGUGCCAGCAGCCGCGGUAA